CCGCCUAUCCAUCAACAUAAAAGUGAAAGGAGCCCGCUAACUACUGCACUUCCUAAUGUGAUAUUGAGUUUUGCCUAAACUUGCCCGCCCAUACUCUUAACUUUUCGCUUAAGCUCUCAGACUAGAGCUAUUCUCAGUAAACCGAAAAUUCUAAUAUACCCCUCUCUCCUCAAUGGCUAAAUACCAAAGCUAACCUUAAAUGGGUUAAAGAACGAGCCAAAACAGGAUCUUAGCCUCAAU
rnacentral:lncRNA from 1 species